AUACCUUUCUCGGCCUUUUGGCUAAGAUCAAGUGUAGUAUCUGUUCUUAUCAGUUUAAUAUCUGAUAUGUGAGCCAUGUGCUCACAAUGAUAUUAAAUUUAUUUUUUGUGGGGAAGGGCCCACAACAGUAGCUUGCUGCUGGGGUCCUUAGGUGUCGCCCAGGCGUUGCACUGCUGCUUGCGCCGGCGCACCCCAA
rfam:Hordeum vulgare subsp. vulgare, WGS project CAJW01000000 data, contig: morex_contig_1563401